GGAGAGGUGGCUGAGCGGUCGAAAGCGGCGGUCUUGAAAACCGCAGGCCCCGAGAGGGGCCCGGGGGUUCGAAUCCCUCCCUCUCCGCCA
rnacentral:tRNA from 1 species